CAGUAGCCGCGGUAAUACAGAGGGUGCGAGCGUUAAUCGGAAUUACUGGGCGUAAAGGGCGCGUAGGCGGUUAGGAAGGUGUGAUGUGAAAGCCCUGGGCUUAACCUGGGCAGGUCAGAUAAUACUGGUUAACUCGAGUAUGGGAGAGGGUAGUGAAUUUCCGGUGUAGCGGUGAAAUGCGUAGAUAUGUGGAGGAACACCAGUGGCGAAGGCGACUCUCUGGUCUGUAACUGACGCUGAGGAGCGAAAGCGUGGGGAGCGAACAGGAUUAGAUACCCCCGUAGUCCCUGUCUCUUAUACA
rnacentral:rRNA from 1 species